AACGAACGCUGGCGGCAGGCUUAACACAUGCAAGUCGAACGCACCUUUCGGGGUGAGUGGCAGACGGGUGAGUAACGCGUGGGAAUCUACCCUUCUCUACGGGAUAGCUCCGGGAAACUGGAAUUAAUACCGUAUACGUCCUGAGGGAGAACGAUUUAUCGGGGAAGGAUGAGCCCGCGUUGGAUUAGCUAGUUGGUGGGGUAAAGGCCUACCAAGGCGACGAUCCAUAGCUGGUCUAAGAGGAUGAUCAGCCACAUUGGGACUGAGACACGGCCCAAACUCCCACGGGAGGCAGCAGUGGGGAAUAUUGGACAAUGGGCGCAAGCCUGAUCCAGCCAUGCCGCGUGAGUGAUGAAGGCCCUAGGGUUGUAAAGCUCUUUCAGUGGGGACGAUAAUGACGGUACCCACAGAAGAAGCCCCGGCUAACUUCGUG
rnacentral:rRNA from 1 species